rnacentral:rRNA from 1 species
GCAAGUCGAACGAAGUAGCAAUACUUAGUGGCAGACGGGUGAGUAACAUGUGGGUAUCUUCCCUUUGGUGAGGAAUAACACGAGGAAACUUGUGCUAAUACCUCAUAAGUCUUUACGGAGAAAGCUUUAUGCGCCAAUGGAUGAGCCCGCACUUGAUUAGUUUGUUGGUGGGGUAAUGGCCUACCAAGACUUUGAUCAAUAGCUGAUCUGAGAGGAUGAUCAGCCACAUUGGGACUGAGACACGGCCCAAACUCCUACGGGAGGCAGCAGUAGGGAAUAUUGCACAAUGGAGGAAACUCUGAUGCAGCGAUGCCGCGUGAGUGAAGAAGGCCCUUGGGUUGUAAAGCUCUUUCGUCGGGGAAGAAAAUGACUGUACCCGAAUAAGAAGGUCCGGCUAACUUCGUGCCAGCAGCCGCGGUAAUACGAAGGGACCUAGCGUAGUUCGGAAUUACUGGGCUUAAAGAGUUCGUAGGUGGUUAAAAAAGUUGGUUGUGAAAUCCCGGAGCUUAACUCCGGAACUGCAAUCAAAACUUUUUAGCUAGAGUAUGAUAGAGGAAAGCAGAAUUUCUAGUGUAGAGGUGAAAUUCGUAGAUAUUAGAAAGAAUACCAAUUGCGAAGGCAGCUUUCUGGAUCAUUACUGACACUGAGGAACGAAAGCAUGGGUAGCGAAGAGGAUUAGAUACCCUCGUAGUCCAUGCCGUAAACGAUGUGUGUUAGACGUUGGAAAUUUAUUUUCAGUGUCGCAGCGAAAGCAAUAAACACACCGCCUGGGGAGUACGACCGCAAGGUUAAAACUCAAAUGAAUUGACGGGGACCCGCACAAGUAGUGGAGCAUGUGGUUUAAUUCGAAGAUACGCGCAGAACCUUACCAACACUUGACAUGUUCGUCGCGACUCUAA